rnacentral:lncRNA from 1 species
UUGGCCCAAAUCAGUAAACUCAGCCUGAUCCAAUUCUAUGUUCCUUUCACCAUAAUCCCAUGCCUCUAAUAUCCUUUCUCAUACCUGUUCUCCAGAUUGGUGUUUAUAUAAAUUAGAGAACUCAAACACUUCUUUUGGAGUGUAGCACAGCUCCUCAUGGGUCACACUCUCAACCUCACCUCCGGGGGCCUGCUGGGACUCUAGUUACAGGUCUAGAAGAAAACAGAGGUGUUGGUAGUGGCUUCUGAGGAGAAUUAACAUUAUCUUGCCUGGCAACUGCCUCAGGGGAGACCAUCACUGUUGUCUCAGGCAGCACACGGUUUAUCUCCUCAGACAAUGAUGGAAAGGCUGAUGGCAGCAUGGACAUGAGAAGGAUGUUGCCACUACUGGACACAAUUUUAGCUCUUUCUCUACAGGAGAUAAGACUCUCACACAGGGCAAUCUUAGCAGAUUUGAGGCUCAGGCCAUGACAUCAAUCUUCAUUCCUACCCCCUUAAAAAACUGAUACUUAUGUCUCGGAAUUAUCUGUGGAUUUGUCUGAACCCAGUUUUUCU